GUGGUUGUGGCUCAGCGAUAGAGCACUUGCUUAACAUGUGCGGGGCACUGGGUUCAAUCCUCAGCACCACA
rnacentral:tRNA from 1 species